rnacentral:lncRNA from 1 species
CGCCUUGACGAAGCAAAACUCUGGUGAGGUAAGGGGAAAAGAAAAUAAGAAACAGGGCUUAUGGCCCUCCUUCAACACAAGGUAUGUCUUAGCAUGUAACAAUAUUAUACCCAAUGAAAAAGAAACUGUGAAUUAACGGGUCCCUACAUUUAUUUAUGAUAAAGUAUGUUUAGUAUGUCUUCCCCCAAAACCGACAGAUCUCAAGUCACGUCUUAGUCUAAGUGUUUACAAUAAAUUAUGUUCAAAAAUCCGUCCCUUAAAACCGACAGAGCUCAAGUCACAUUUUAGUAUAAUAUAUUUACAUAUGUUCACAAUCCCCUUCAUCACAUCUUAAUGUCAAUUGGUGAAGGCGGCGGAGAUUUCCAAGGUCCACUCUUGUUCUGCAUGUAAACAAAAGCCACAACAUCAACAAUGCGUGAAGAUCUCUGAAAUAGCAAAAUAAAAUCUUUAUUGAAAUAGCAAAAUCUAUAAUGCAUGAACAUGUUAUUCGCUCUUUACUUGUUAAGCCAUUAUAGCUGUUUGGUUACAAAGACGUAGGACAGUGAUAAAGUAGUAGGCAUUGCCUCAACCACCAAAUGAUUUAAGUGGAGAACAUAUAUGCAAACAAGAUAUCGAUAUUUAUGAUUUCUAGGUGCAUUAGUAAUAGUGCAUACCAAGAUGUGAACAUCUGAUGUGCCUUAGAUUGACAGAUACUUUGUGCCAAAGUAAUUUUGAAAUGUCAAUUACCUUGCUACUAAUAUCUAUGGUUAUAGCAGAAGUGUGAGACACCUUCUUGGCAGCUCGCACAGGGUAGAAGUAUGCAUCAGCCUGAAAAAUGUACAGUUAAUCACAAAUUCUUUCUGGCAAAAGAUUGGUAACCUUGCUGCACUAGGAGCCAACUCAGACUUCUCCAAAAAUAUGCAGUGCAGCAAGGAUUUAUCACAAAAGACACCACCAAGUUAAAUCAUCGGUGAGUUAGGUGAAAAAACAAGUGUUUCAGAAAGAACAGAAAAGGCUUCAACCAUUCUUUAGUUUUAUAUCAUGGUUUAUUCAGGUGGCUAGCCAGGUGAUAUUCUAGAAGGCACACCAAUAGAGAGAAAUUGCUGGAGACAACGGAAAUUAGCGCACAGGGUAAUUCAAGAGAAUAGGCUAGUAAGUGGCAUUGAUGUUCCAUGAGUUCUUCACCAGAUGGACGCAUUGUUGUUUGUUGAGCAAGGGUAGCCCAAUAGAGUUUACGCAUCGCUCAGCAGUGAUCCGCAACCUUAACCAUACCCAACCAAUGCAGCACCUGGAGACUGAGAGCUGAUGGGUGUGACGGGUACAAAAUGCAACAUAAAAGCACCAAAUUUUGCUUAAACUACAAUGCAAAUAUUUCGACCCCCGAAACUACAAAACCUGCUAGUUCUAACCCCUUCAUUAUCUCUCUAGAUGAGACACAUUAAACCUGUCGGUGUUUUUGGGCGUUUGGCCAUAUUGGAUGAAGUGGACACAUAGAGACCACUCAGCAAAUCAAACACAACGGAAAUUCGUUACUGAAUGACCCCACAAUAUCCCCUCCCUCUGUCCGCCUCCCUCUUCAUCCAUUCCCCUCCUCCUCCCAGAAAUUCACACCAUAUAACAUCAAGCCACGGCAUGGGACCUAACGAUUCUCGGAUCUUUCCCGCAAAAAAGAAAAAAACGAUUAUCGGAUCUAGCAACCAAACCAAAAGCCCUUAAGAACAAAUCAGGUCUAGGGUUAUACCGGCGACUGGCCGCCGCCUGCCCCUCCUGCCUUCACCGCUUCCUCCGCCCGCCUCUCCUGCCAGUCCCCCGCCGCGCCACCUGCCUCCCCGGCCUGCAGCGCUUCCUCCGCCUGCUUCGCCGCAACGCGUGUCGCCGACGCCACCAUGGUUCUAGCCCUUCCUAGGGUUCUGCGAGACGCGGUGUGGGGUGUGGGUGUGUGCGUGCGCGUGUGUGUCUUUCUUUUUUUAGGAUUUGGGAUGAUCCCACAUUUCAGUGGCGUAGCCAGGCCCCAGGUCGCCCGGGUCGUGGCGCCCGAUCUCUUUGUUGACUGUAGAGUCGUCGACAUUACUUUGUUUUUCUAGGAUUUGGGAGAUGAUCUCACGUUUCAUGCACAGGAUGAUGUAUGUUUUUUUCCUAGAUUGCUUUCUGAUACGGGUUUGGGGGAAGGUAAUGCUGGGCCGGAGGCCUGUGUUGUUCCACGAAAAGAAGAAGAAAAGAGUUGUUCCAGAACGAGAAGUCACCGAAAACGAGCAGAAGGAGGGCCAAAAGAACAAUGUUGUUUCUCAAAAAAAAAACAAUGUUGUUGCCUGCAGGCAGAGCAGGCCCAUGGUAAAAGCGAGCAUUGUAGCCCGCCUGAACAGGCAGUAAGCCCAUUGGAAAUGCCGGUACUGCAGCCUGGUCGGAAGCACCCGAAAAACGAGCAGGAGGAGUCUUCAGGAAGAGCAGGCCGUAGGCCCAUUAGAAAGGCCGGCGAUGCAGCCCGGUCGAACUAAUUUUCGAAAGUCUCUCAAAAAAAUAAUUUUCGAAAUUCGACUAAAAAACUAAUUUUCGAAACAAAACUCAGUUUGAAAAUAUUUUCGAAAAAAAAAUUUACCUGUGCAUCGCCUGAUGGAACUACGUACCCUCCGGGGCUGCCAUGAACCGAACUGGCAGGUGCUUGUUAAGUUGCUACCCUUCGUCUCUCUCUCUUUUUUUUUUUUUGAACUUCCCUUCGUCUCUCUCGUUGCCUGGAGCUGUAGCUGGUGGCUAUGGUUGUUAGCUGGCGUUGAUUGUUGAAGAAGCUAUGGAGGUUCUCUCUGCUGAAGCUAGGUACAGCUGCAACGCUAACGUUCAUAGCGUGGAUGACAACGCCUCCGCCUGACGGCCUGAAGAGCACGCCGGCUGUUCCUUUGGUAGCAGGGGCGGAGCUUUUGAGCAUGAAUCUAGGAAGGGGCCAACAAAACUUUAAACAUGUACAGAGAGUGUUUACAAACAAAUAAUCAGUGCGUUCGGAUGCUCACCUUUCAGCUACGGGGGCACUCCCCGCUGGCGAGGCUGCAUACGCCUCCGCCUCCUCGCCCACCUCCGGUGUAGCGAGGUAUAGGAGAGAUGCCAUGACCAACGGCAGCACGACCUGAAGGAGGCCGCCGGGUGGAGGCGUGAGGAGGAGGAGGAGGAGGAGGCGCGAGGGAAGCAAGGGCUCGAGCAGCUACGGCAGCGGGAGAGCUUUGCAGGCGACGAGUUGCCAUGGUGGUACCUAGAGGAAGGAGGAGGGGUAGCUAGUUAGCUACCCAAGAGCAAAUGCUUCAGCUGCACAUAUAUACUAUAACUCAGGCGUACGCUGUCAACCACUGCGGAGUUCCAGUGAACGUUUCUAGGCUCGAGCCGACUCCAAGCUAGUCUUUGAGAUUGACGUUAAGCUCGAGCUCGAGCUCAGCGCAGCAUAGUGGUGACUAAUGAAUGUUAGCGAGUUGGACGAUGCGCAUGCGACAGCGACACAACGAAAACGACUCAUUGUAGUAGUACCUGAUGCGGCUCGCGUUCGCAUUCGUGCUCGGGUUAGGACCAUGCUCAUGCCUGCUUUGUGCUCUUGGAUAACCGGAGAGCCGAGCCACCGGCGGCAAUGGCAAACGGC